rnacentral:rRNA from 1 species
GAUGAACGCUGGCGGCGUGCCUAAUACAUGCAAGUCGAGCGAACAGAUGAGGAGCUUGCUCCUCUGACGUUAGCGGCGGACGGGUGAGUAACACGUGGAUAACCUACCUAUAAGACUGGGAUAACUUCGGGAAACCGGAUCUAAUACCGGAUAAUAUAUUGAACCGCAUGGUUCAAUAGUGAAAGACGGUUUUGCUGUCACUUAUAGAUGGAUCCGCGCCGCAUUAGCUAGUUGGUAAGGUAACGGCUUACCAAGGCAACGAUGCGUAGCCGACCUGAGAGGGUGAUCGGCCACACUGGAACUGAGACACGGUCCAGACUCCUACGGGAGGCAGCAGUAGGGAAUCUUCCGCAAUGGGCGAAAGCCUGAAGGAGCAACGCCGCGUGAGUGAUGAAGGUCUUCGGAUCGUAAAACUCUGUUAUUAGGGAAGAACAAAUGUGUAAGUAACUAUGCACGUCUUGACGGUACCUAAUCAGAAAGCCACGGCUAACUACGUG